rnacentral:tRNA from 1 species
GGGCGGGUAGCUCAGCUGGUUAGAGCGCAUCCCUUACAAGGAUGAAGUCGCAGGUUCGAGUCCUGUUCCGCCCACAA